rnacentral:lncRNA from 1 species
CACCAGUGGAAUGUGACUUUUUUUUUUUGGGGAGGAGGAGGCAGGGAGAGAUCAGUCAUUCCCUGGCUGUGGGAUGUUGUAAACAUUCCACAGAGUCAAUGAGAACAUAAUGCAAGUGGGUUGCAAAACGAUACAACAAAUCUGGCGACCUCGUAGAGAUUUCCUGCAAUGGAAGGAAGGAACUGUGGAGGAGGACCCAAAACACUGCAUUGUUCACAAAAGCCAAGACAUCGAAUCAACCCAAAUGUCCAUCAACAGAUGAAUGGAUUAAGAAGAUGUGGUAUAUAUACACAAUGGAAUACUCUUCAGCCAUAAAAAGAACAAAAUAAUGCCAUUUGCAACAACAUGGAUGGAACUAGAGACUCUCAUACUAAGUGAAGUAAGUUAGAAAGACAAAUACCAUAGGAUAUCACUUAUAUCUGGAAUCUAAUAUACAGCACAAAUGAACCUUUCCACAGAAAAGAAAUGCAUGGACUUGGAGAACAGAUUUGUGGUUGCCAAGGAGGAGGGGGAAGAGUGGGAUGGAUUUGGAAUUUGGGGUUAAUAGAUGCAAACUAUUGCCUUUGGAAUGGAUAAGCAAUGGGAUCCUGCUGUAUAGCACUGGGAACUGUAUCUAGUCACUUAUGAUGGAGCAUGAUAAUGGGAGAAAAAAGAAUGUAUAUAUGUAUGUGUGACUGGGUCACCUUGCUGUACAGUAGAAAAUUAACAGAACACUGCAAACCACCAGCUAUAAUGGAAAAAAAAUAAAAAUCAUUUAAAAUAAAAAAACAGGAGUUCCUGUCAUGGCUCAGGGGAAAUGAAUCCGACUAGGAACCAUGAGGUUGUAGGUUUGAUCCCUGGCCUCGCUCAGUGGGUUAAGGAGCUGGCGUUGCCGUGAGCUGUGGUGUAGGUCGCAGACAUGGCUCGGAUCCUGAAUUGCUGUAGCUGUGGUAUAGACCAGCAGCUGUAGCUCCGAUUUGACCCCUAGCCUGGGAACCUUCAUAUGCUUCAGGUGCAGCCCUAAAAAGACAAAAAAAAAAAAAAAAGAUAGCAGUAUUAGUAAAGUCAUAAACAAAAAUUUCAUUUAAGAGCUUUCACCCUGUUCAGCUGGCUUAGUAGUCUCUUUUCAGUCUUUUUGGGGCUGCACCCUUGGCUUAUGGAGGUGCCCAGCUCCAAUUAUGGGGUCUAAUUGGAG